rnacentral:rRNA from 1 species
CAGUAGCCACGGGAAUACGUAGGUGGCGAGCGUUGUCCGGAAUUAUUGGGCGUAAAGGGAGCGCAGGCGGACAUAUAAGUCCAUCUUAAAAGUGCGGGGCUCAACCCCGUGAGGGGAUGGAAACUGUAUGCCUUGAGUGCAGGAGAGGAAAGCGGAAUUCCCAGUGUAGCGGUGAAAUGCGUAGAUAUUGGGAGGAACACCAGUGGUGAAGGCGGCUUUCUGGACUGUAACUGACGCUGAGACUCGAAAGCCAGGGGAGCGAACGGGAUUAGAUACCCCAGUAGUCCCUGUCUCUUAUACA